rnacentral:rRNA from 1 species
GUGAGGAAUAUUGGUCAAUGGACGGAAGUCUGAACCAGCCAUGCCGCGUGCAGGAAUAAGGUCCUAUGGAUUGUAAACUGCUUUUAUUCGGGAAUAAACCUCUUUACGUGUAGGGAGCUGAAGGUACCGAAGGAAUAAGCACCGGCUAACUCCGUGCCAGCAGCCGCGGUAAUACGGAGGGUGCAAGCGUUAUCCGGAAUCAUUGGGUUUAAAGGGUCCGCAGGCGGGCUAUCAGGUCAGAGGUGAAAUCCCACAGCUUAACUGUGGAACUGCCUUUGAAACUGAUGGUCUUGAAUUAAGUGGGCGUUGGCGGAAUAUGACAUGUAGCGGUGAAAUGCAUAGAUAUGUCAUGGAACACCGAAAGCGAAGGCAGCUAACGAUACUUAUAUUGACGCUCAUGGACGAAAGCGUGGGUAGCGAACAGGAUUAGAUACCCCGGUAGUCC